rnacentral:rRNA from 1 species
GACGAACGCUGGCGGCGUGCCUAAUACAUGCAAGUAGAACGCACAGUCUAUACGGUAGCUUGCUACACCAUAGACUGUGAGUUGCGAACGGGUGAGUAACGCGUAGGUAACCUGCCUGGUAGCGGGGGGUAACUAUUGGCAACGAUAGCUAAUACCGCAUAAUAUUAAUUAUUGCAUGUUAAUUAAUUGAAAGGUGGACUUGCACCACUACCAGAUGGAUCUGCGUUGUAUUAGCUAGUAGGUGAGGUAACGGGCCACCCUGGCGACGAGACAUAGCCGACCGGAGAGGACGAGCAGCCACACUGAGAGGGAGACAGGGCCCAGUGGCCUACAGGAGCCAGCAGAAGUGAAACGUGAGCAAUGGGCGGGAGUCUGACCGAGCAGCGCCGAAGGAGUGAACAAGGUUGUCGGGUCGUAAAGCUCUGUUGUAAGGGAAGAACGCGGGUGAGAGUGGAAAGUUCACAAAGUGACGGUAUCUGAACAGAAAGGGACGUCUAACUACGUG